rnacentral:lncRNA from 1 species
UUUUUAAGUCUUUAUUAUUUUUAGGUUCAUUUUAAGAUGAGAUGAAGGAUGUACAAUGAUAUAGCAUAAAGCGAAGUAAAGUAAAUACACAAAAAUAAAUAAAUAUUAGAAGCGGGAUUUAAAAGAGUUAGAUGUUAAUUGCGGAAAUUAAAAAAUUAGAGUUAAUCGUUAAAUGUUAGGUGUUAGUUGAAAUCAACAUGAAAUAACAAGAGAAUUGUAAUAAAAUGUUAAAUCUAAAACAAA